UACGUAGGGUGCGAGCGUUAAUCGGAAUUACUGGGCGUAAAGCGUGCGCAGGCGGUUCGUUAAGUUCGUUGUGAAAGCCCCGGGCUCAACCUGGGAAUGGCAUUGGAAACUGGCGGGCUUGAGUGUGGCAGAGGGGGGUGGAAUUCCGCGUGUAGCAGUGAAAUGCGUAGAGAUGCGGAGGAACACCGAUGGCGAAGGCAGCCCCCUGGGCUGACACUGACGCUCAGGCACGAAAGCGUGGGGAGCAAACAGG
rnacentral:rRNA from 1 species